AAGAGAAAGGUAUUUCCACUUCAAAUAGAAGUUUUAAGUGUAAAGAAGGGCGAUUAGAAGUCUCCAUGGAGGACCUAACCCUAUGGGAAGAUAUAUUGCCUACCCACCCCCUUAUAGCUUACCGUCAAACUUUGGCCAUUGAUAGCUUCAAAUUGGCUUAUAUUGCCUAUCCCUCACCCUCUUAUAUUUGCCUCAACAACUUUCACUACACCGCCCUCUCAGGACUUAGUUAACAUCAAGAGUAUCCUUUUAUUUAUAUGUUGUCAGUACAAACUCGACAUUUAGCUUGAUUUUGCAAUAAUCAUGCAAUCUUCCUUGUUGCUAAAUUGUGUCUUGAGUUUGAGCCAAAUCCACACCUUAUUGCUCAAAGUCACGCACGAAAUGCAGUGUUCUUUUAUUAAUUAAUGCGCACGCAAGUCUUGGACCUUUUUUUCUCUACUUCAUUAAUGCUAUGCUUGCACGAAUCUCCUCCUGUGUCCCCUUAUCAUUUUUCUUCUUUUUUUGGUUCGAAUCCCCUUUUGUCAUUGAAGGAGCUGAACGUCCAUUUUUCGCCUUCACUCCACAGCGCUCCCUAUUUCGGAUUCUCGCUCGAUCAGCGAAAUGGGAAAACUCGGCGCCAAAGUGGACGUCGGAAAUGGCGGUGAUGGCGACGUUCUUGAGGCCUAGCCUCAAUAUUCGAGUGGAAUUGAGAGGGUGCUUCCAUUCCAGACAGUGGUGGAGAACUGUGACGCUCACGGGGUGCUCGAGACCCCGGAGAUUGGAUCCGAGCACAGAGGCACGUGAGUCGUUUCGCGUUUUCAUGGAACAGGGGUGGACGUUGGUGAUCUGGUUGGGGAAAGGAUGGAGCUUGAGGAGGAUGGUCAGGGAAGUGUAUAGAAACGGACUCGACUUAGGGUUCAGGAACGGGUUUACAAAUCGGAUUCAGGUUGCGAAAUGGACCUGCAUCUUUCUAGGAUGGAGAAGUUUUUUCGGAAAUUGUGAGACGAUUUUGGGAAUUUGAAAGAAACGAGAAGGGGCCAAUUUUAAUUUAUUUUGGCCAAACGUCGAGCAAUAGUUUCGGAUUACUAAGGAGUACAUAUAAAUUUCAGCACGGUGACCUCUUUGGUUCAGAUCGGAAAAGUAGUGUGGGGGUGGCCAAUCGAUAAUGGUCUCGCCGCCCUCUAGUGAUACGCAAGGGCCUGGUAGUGCAACGCUGUGGGCUUAGUAGGGCUUUUAGGGCUUAUUUGCCAGAUAUCCAUCGAUUUCUGGCCGAAUACAUGGCAACAACCAAGUGGCGGAGGUUGUUCUCAUGGGACGGACACAGCCAUGGUCGCCGUCCCCUGGGAUGAUUAAGUUAAACAAUUUGUCAAAUUGCUUAAUUCGACAAUUUCGUACUCAACAGUGUCGACUCCGUAACUCGCUUUCCCUUAUGACAAAUGAACAAUAUCAUGGGUUUAGACCACAGUAAGCAUCGGCUAAGAUCAAAACGUUCAAAGUCAGCGACAACAAGUCAACGAUGAGGCCCUUGAAAGACUUCUAUCCUUCCAAAAGUCUUUUUUGACUUAGGCAAUUCCAUUUGUUUUUUCACGUACUUGUUCAAGUUUUUGGGUCAGAUUUUCUCAUGUGCUGAUGACUUAAUUAUUGCAUGAUUAUAUUAUUAAACUAAAUAAUUUGAUAGAUUAUGAUUGAUCUUAUUAAGCCAACCACAUUUGAUAUUUUCACGCUAUUUGGCAUACAAAAUGUCAAUAUAAAUACUAUAAUUCUAGGGACAGAAAUUGUCUCAAAGGCGAACGCAUCUUCAUGAGUAAUAUCGUCAAACUCCUUUUGAGAUUCUCCUUCCAAGGCAUGGUCUCCUACUUAGAUAACUCGAUCAGUUUCCUCUUUUUUCCAAUAAUAUAAUUUAAUUUCCCUUUAUUAAUUUCCUCUAUUUAGAUCUAGUGUAUUUCUUUACUAGUGCUUCCACUCCUAGUGAAACAAGGAGAUUAAAUUUAUCUGGUCGGUUAACUAUCAACAUCAAUUAAGAUUUAAUUUAUUUCUAUCUCUUUUCGUAAUUAUUUAUACACAAAAUUCUUAUUGUGUAUUUUUAUCAAUAAAUUAUUUGCAUGAUUUAAUAAUUCAUAAAUUUUACCAAAAAAAAAGAUUUAAAUUCAUUUUUUAAAUACCAAUUGUUCCCACACACAUAAUGCAUAGCGGGUGAUAAAUAAAACGCGGUAGAUCCUCAUUGGAGAAAAGGAGCUUGCGUAUAGCACGAUUUCAUUCUCUAGAAUCAAUUAUUUUCUUAAGAAAGUAUCUCGCAAUUUCCAAGUUGUCUUUGAAUUAAUCGAGUCUUUCUUAAAUAUCAAUCUACAUAUUGGCUUUCUCAUUGUUGAAUGGAUUUAGUACUGAUGGGUGUUAUUAUUUGCAUGGGAGUAAUGCUAUAAAGCCCUUAGAAGACAAAAAAGGAUUUUCACUCUAUAUGAUGUCGUGCGCUCUAUAUGUAGGGGUGUGCAUGGUCUAGACAGGCGAUUCCCGACCUAGAAUCGGGAAUCGCCCGCUAAGGACCGGUUCCGAAAAAUUGGAACCGGGAUCCACCCGUUUGUUGCAUAUCCACGCGGGAACCGGACCGCCGGUUCGAUCUAGUUCCCGGGUGGAUCUAUGGAACUAUCAACACCUAAAUUUUGAUUAGGUUUUUAAUUAGAAUUAAGUUUCUUUAUUUAUGUAUUUUGCCUCUUUUUCAGAUAAAUUCAAUAAAAACAAGAAAAGAAAAAGCAAAAAAAAAAAAACAGCCAGCCCCUUUUUCUUUCUUUUCCCUUCGCACAACCCGCCCCCCCCCCCCCCUCUUCUUCUUCCUCCUGUCUUCUUCUUCUUCAUUCACCUCUGCAUCUCACGCGCGGUGGCCGGCGACGCACUCAAGGGCAGCCUACGGCAGAGAGGCACGGAGGUAGGUCGCCAAAGGAGAGGACAAUGCGCAUGCGCCUUCAAUGCGCGCCUUUAAUGCUGAGAUGAGACGCCAGUUCGGCCGCGGGGGUCCGGUCGACAAGCCAAAGACCGGCGGCCAAGCCUCUCCGUCGACUGGACCUCCUCGCCUAUAAAUAGCGGAGCACUUCCAUCGUCGAAGGGACACACACAAGCGAGCUCCGAGAUCUUCCCACUGAGAGACUUCGGAGGAGGAAUCAAAGAGCGAGCGAGAGAGAAAUCGGGUCGCGAGCCGACCUCCCACUGAGAGACUUCGGGGGAGGCCGCCGGCGAGCGAGUUCGAAGAGGUUGGAUUUGGCCGGUGGAGGCUCGGAUCUGGUCGAAGUGAGAGAGAAGCAAGGUCAGAGGAGGUGCAAGGGUUCUGGAUUCGUGAAGAGGGGCGGAAGAAGAGGUCCCACCCCCCAACACCGCUGCUGUGCCAAAUCCCGCUGUGCCGCCCUCUCGCUGUCACCGUAGCCGAGCCCCAGGCCACUGUCUCGAGCCUCGCCGUCUUUGCCUAGUCGUCCUUGCCGUCCCUACAGCCACCGCCACUGCUGGACCAGGUAGAAAUCCCUCUGUCUCCGUCGACCUAGCCGCCGCCGCUGCUUCGUCGUUGCCAUUCGACCUUUCGCGAAACCCUAGCCUCAAUCGAGGGCUUGUUAUGCUGCCGUCGUUGCUACCAUCGCCGUCGUCUUCCCCGCAGCGCCUCACCCUUCCCCUCUCCGACGCCGCGAAUCGAGAACCCUAGGGUUCUCGAUUUUCUGGGUCGUGGCCUCGGGUCAUCAGAUAAGACUCGGGCCACGAACCGGGUAGGGAUUUCGCGAUUUGGGGGUGGUGGGAGCCGGGUUGCGAGGUCGGGUCGGAUCCGGGUAGUGUUCAGCUAGGAACCCGAGUCUUCGAGCCGGAUCCGGAUCGAGUAGGGUUUCCGCUGGGAGUCGGGUCGUGGAGCGGGUUGUCGGGCUGGGCCGAAUGUCCCCAAAUGCCCAGCCACAACGCCGUUUCAAUUAAAAAAAAAAAGACAAAAAGACAAAAAAAAUCCGAGUUGGGCCCGCGUUGCAAGCCCAUCCUCGUUCGGGUCGCUGGCCUAGGUCAGACCCAACCCACAAAUCCAACUUGGGUCGGUUUAUUUUAUUAUUUUAAUAUAAAAUAAUAUUUUGAUGAAUAAUAAAUAAUUUAUUUUCAAAAAAAUAAAAAAAAUUAUUUUCAAAAAAUAUUUAAAAAAUGUUAAAAAAUGUUAUAUUUUCAAAAAAUCGGGAAAAAUAAAAAAUAAUUUAUUUUCCAAAAAAAAUAUUGAAAAAUAUUUAAAAAGAUUUUAUUUUCCGAUAAAAAUCAAAAAUAUCAAAAAUAUUCCAUAUUUUCCAAAAAAUGGAAAAAAUCCAAAAAAUUCAGAAAAAGCCAAAAAGACUUGUAUUUUUUUUCCAAAAUAUCAAAAAAAAAUCCAAAAAAUCCCUUUUAUGUAAAAAAAAAAAAAGACUCAAAAAUGUUUUUCCUCCCAAAAAUGCAUGGAAAAUUUCCCAAAAAUCCAAAAACUCUUAGGGUUUAAACAAGAUUAGGUACCGAAAGGGCAUUAGUGAUUAACUAGUGUAAUCAAGUCCCCGAUCCUAAUUUCUCUGGUUGCGCAGGAGUGAGUAUUUAUCCUGAUACUUUGCUUGAGUUUCUAAUCAACUCACCCCAAAUCGAUUAGUGGCGACUUCAUUUUAAAAAUUGAUUUACAGGUUAAAAACUUGAACCAUUAAGUUGCGAAUUGGUAGACUUGGGAGAGUCCGAGCAUAACUAAUUUUAGCCGAGCCAUUAGCCUCCUUAGGCGCCUGUACUUGAUUGCGGGCGCCGAAAAAAAAAGAGGUCGCGACAGGAACCGAUCUUGUCGCCAAAAAAUUUUGGUUUUCAACAUAGAACGGUCAAGUCUAUGAGUUGGGAAGGAGGGGAGGAGGUCUAUGGUCGGGUUUUCAACAUAGAACAGUUGCGAAACAAUUUUCUGCAGCUAUGGCAAGUGGCAACCGACGCAAGGGGGCGAACAGCAGCGGCGGAGGAGCAACGACGGCGGCGUCGACGCUCAGGGAGGAAUCGAAAUGGCGAUAAGAUUAGGAGGAACCGAGGAAGAGACAAAGAGAGAGAGAACCGAAAACGAAGGGAGUGAGGAGAUGAGAUCUAAUCUAGAGUUUCUUUUAGUAAUUUUAUUUUUUAAUAUUAAAAAGGCUCCGGUCCAGUCCGGGUGGACGGAUCCACCCAUGGAAUCGGGAACCGGACCGGUAACCACCGGUUCCGAAAAAUUGGAACCGGGAACCGGACCGGUUCCCUCAAGAACCGCCGGUUCCGGGCAGUUCCCGGGUAUUUUGCACACCCCUUUCUAUAUGUAGUAUGGCCAUUAAAAAUGCAGAAUAAACAUGGUUUCUUUUUAUUAUUAUUUUUUCUAAGAAUAAAGUGAUCCAUUUAUCUGAAUGCAUAUUGGAAAUAUAUGACAUGAAUGAUAUAAAAUGUAACAGAAAAAGAAAUUUCUUGAAAUUUUGCAAAGUCGGAGGUGCUGCUCAAAUCGAGCAGUGCGGGUGGUCCAAGCAAACAGACGUUAAUGUACACGAAACAAAAGGUAGGAAAAGUAAGAAGAGCAACGUGCAGAAACGACGACGGAUUAACGGGGAACGAGCAUGGCUUUAAGCAAACAUAGAAAUAGCACAUCUCACGAUAUUUUGAUAUCGCGUAUUCUUCCUCUUCUUCUUCUUCUUUUAAAUUCCUAAGGCUGCUCCGGAGCCUCUCUUCACUUUCGUUUUUUUGUUUGUUUUUUCCUCCUCGUUUUCCAACCACAUCCUCACCAUAACGCGCCUUCUCUCUUUUGUCCUCUAGCUCUCCCCCCUUUUCUUUCGCCCGACUCUUCUCUCUUCUUGUCUUGCUUUCUUUUUUGGGUUCCCCGUCCAAACCCUCAAUGAAAAUUAAUUGUUGUUUAGCAUUCCAAAGUCCAGCAUUAUCGGGCCUCAUCAUCGACCUAUCAAGUUCGCUAAACUCAGUCAUCAAUGGACUGACUACUUUUGUUUGAACACGAGCUGCACCAACAUGGCAAGAAAAAGGAAAAUAAAAACUCAGGCAAUGGCUCAUUGAUUUCUAACACUUCCUCAUAAAAAUUUUUGAAAAUAAAUUUUAACAUCACUGCUUUGAGGAUGGACGCACUCUCAACAAGUGAACCCGAGUGAUCAAAUUCAGUAAUACAACAGACUCAUCUAAAAAAUUUAAGUUUAAUAGUUAUUUUAUACGGCAAUCAUGAUAGGAACGUGGCAACGAUAUCUUGAUGUAUCAUAGGAAUGUUAUCUAGAUAUGCAAACGGCAAAUGAACAAACAACAUACCGGCAAUGACUUGGGUAGUAAUGAUGCAUCUAUGAGGCCUAUACCUUAUUCAAUUUUUUUUCUAUUUGCUUUUGUUCAUGUUUUCUUUCUCAAACCACUCUAAUAUGAAUUAAAUAGCAUAUAUCUUGUUGGGAAUAACGGAUCCCCGAAAACUGGAUUCGACACUAAAUCGAACCCUUAAAUCAAUGCAGAAGACGAAGCCCAGGAAAUACACGUAUCACCGAUCGUAAAGCACACCACGAAUUCGAGCGUACCUUGUUAGCCACAGAUUAGACACCGACGCCGAUAGGAGGAAGAAAAUCUGACCCUGUUCGAUCCGACGAAGCAAAUUCGCCUUCGUACUUCACUGUUUUCCUUUUAGGAGAGAAAGUGAGAGAGAGAGAGCGUGAGAAGAAAAAGACGUACGUUUACUUUUUUUUUUUUCUUCAACAGGUACUUUUUCUCUCUCUCUCUCUCUCUCCUCCCUUUUAUAUGUCCCCCCCAUCCACGGGCCGUAUUCCCGUGGGCCGAGCUUUUUGGGCCCAACUUGGGCGAACGGGCCAACUUAGGCCCAUCUCCAUAAAUAAAACUAUCAUCUCCCACUCACACAUGGUGGGCCGAACAGGAUUCUCUUUACCUCUCUUCAACAUUCAUACCGGUGAAUAAUCCGUGCGACCAGCAUACUUUGAGAGCUCGUUGCUAUACAUUUUUUAGGAAUAUAUAGCAGCUUAUAAUGGGCGUCUCACUCUGAGUAGAUCUAGUAUGCAGUACCCUAGAUCGAUCAAUCACAUUUAUAUCUCUCUUGAUCUCUUUUAAACAUGAUAUAUAUAUUGUAUUCACAAUUAUAAUUGUCACAAAGACAGUCAUAAUUGGUCGACCAGUGAAUACAAAACCAUAAUGUGAUUCUCCAAAAUCGAUCUUCUUCUUUCCUUCAAACUCUCAAUUUCAGUCCAGCUUGCUUUUCUAGAAAUGUCCCAUUAGAUCGAAUUAUCUCAUGACCAUUGGCAACAUCCUAAGAUAGCAAACACUAAAUAGAAAUCUUGAGAAUAAGUAAGAGUCCUGAGGGGACUAAAAAUUGAGGAACUCUUUUCCUCAAGAGUCUCACACAUCAUAAAAGUUGAGAUCAAAAUUUUUGCCACUCUUAUUGGUCGUCUCAUGCAUACGUAGUAUGAAAUACGUAUUACGGUAUUAACUCCUUUCCAUGGAGCGUAUGUCUACACCUUUCAAUACCGUACAGAUGAUAGUUCAGACAUACCUAAUGUCUAACUUAAGUUCACGUAUCUACUCAAUCACAAAAUUCAUCAGAACUCACAUCUGGCAUCAUAGAUAGAUAAAGUAAAAUAUGUGGGUUAUUUUACUUUCGGACAUCUUUAGUAUUAUGUCAUCAUCUUAACACUCAGUUAAGGCGACAUACGUAUUUUAAGCUUGAGCUCUCGAUUAUCACAUAGAUAAUAAGCUUAAAAACAGUCUCAUCUCUAUUUAUCACAUAGGAAAUAUAGGCGAUUACCUGUGUGAGUGGGCUAAUCUUAUAUAUGUCCGACAUACUUCUCAACUUAAAAUAAUGUACUGAGCAUUAAGAUGCAUAAAGAUCAAACAAAUAUUCAUAGGCAUUAAUAAUGAAACAACACAAGUUCAUUGAUGUGAACAACUCAGGGAAAUUACAAUAUCUAGUACAUCAGACUCUACGCAAUCCUAGAGAUUUUACAUGGCCACAAAACACAUCUCUAGGUAUUGGCUUUGUCAUAGGAUCUGCUACCAUUCUAGGCGUAGAUAUGUACUGUAAGUUCACAUCCUUUCGUGCAACCAUAUCUUUCACAAAGUUAUACUUAGUAUCUAUAUGUUUGGUCUUUUCAUGAUAUUUUGGAUCUUUGGUGUACGCUAUAGCUGCUUGGCUAUCACAGUUAACCAACAAUGGAUUUGCAGCUUUCUCAUUAACACCUAAAUGAUCCAAAAAUCUCUUAAGCCAAACUCCUUCUUGUACCGCUGCUGAUAAUGCCACGAACUCAGCUUCCAUCAUGGACAAAGCUAUACACAUUUGCUUCUUACUGCUCCAUGAUAUGGCGCCAUUGUUCAGUAAGAAAGCAAAUCCAGAGGUAGAUUUCCUUUCAUCUAAAUCUCCUCCCUAAUCAGCAUCUGAAUAGCCUUCAAGUCGUAGAUCCUUUCCUUGGUAAUUCAACUUGAAAUCAGCAGUUCCCUUCAGAUACUUCAGUAUUCUCUUGACGGCUUUCCAAUGUGCUGGACCUGGAAUGGAUUGAUAUUUACUCACCAUUCCAACUGCAAAACAUAUGUCGGGUCUUAUACACAUCAUAGAGUACAUCAAGCUCCCAACAGCACUAGCAUAAGGAACAUGUUUCAUUUGUUCCUUCUCUUGUGGAGUCCCUAGACACAGUCUGUGGCUCAAUCCUUCACCUUUUGCAAUAGGAGUGUCUAUGGGUUUACAGUCUUGCAUACGAAAUCGUUCAAGAACCUUAUUUAUAUAGGUUUCUUGUGAAAGAGACAACGAUCUCUUCGAACGAUCUCUCGAAAUCUUAACUCCAAGAAUGUAUGCAGCCUCACCCAUAUCCUUCAUCUCAAAGUUAGAAGACAACCAUCUCUUGACAGUAUUAACCAACUCCAUAUUACUUCCGGCAAUUAGUAUAUCAUCAACAUACAAUGAUAUGAUCACAAAUUGAUCAUUUGAUCUUUUGAUAUAUACACAAUGAUCCUCAUCAAUCAUUUUAAAAUCAUAUGCCAUUAUGACAUUAUGAAAACGUAUAUACCAUUGUCUUGAUGACUGCUUAAAACCAUAUAUCGACCUCAAAAGUCGACAUACUUUUUCUUCUUGGCCUUUCACUAUGAAACCAGCAGGUUGUUCCAUAUAUAUUUCUUCCUCUAAUUCUCCAUUGAGGAAAGCAGUCUUUACAUCCAUAUGAUGUAACUCAAGAUCCAGACUAGCCACUAUUGCCAGAAUAAUGCGAAUCGAGAUAAAUCUUACUACAAGAGAAAACAUAUCUUCAUAAUCAAUUCAUUCCUGUUGAUUAUACUCCUUUGCCACAAGGCGAGCCUUAUGUCUUUCUAUCGAGCCAUCAGCCUUUCGCUUUAUUUUGAGAACCCAUUUGUUCCCAAUAGCUUUGCGUCCUUUUGGAAGAUCAACAAGUUCCCAGACUUUGUUUGAUUUCAUUGACUCCAUUUCCUCUUCCAUUGCAUGAAUCCAUUUUUCCUUACUAGGGCAAUUCAGAGCCUCAUUAAUAUUUCUUGGCUCAUCUUCAUCUUGUGGAGCAAUAAUAAAAGUUUCUCCUUCAAUGUCAAAACGUCGACGGGGAAUACUUUAACGACUUGUUCGCCGUAUGAGAGAUUGUACACUUUGCACAUCAUUCUCCAUCAUGCUCCCACUUGGAUUAGAUAACGAUGACGUCAUCUCAUCAUGUGGUUGUAAUUGAUUACUCAUUUAUCAUAUUACUCCCACUUGGACGAACUCCACUAAUAUCAUUAUCUUGAUCCAAGGUCUCAAAUAAGGAACAAUCUUCCCCUAUUUGGCCCUUCUUAGGAAAUUCAUCCUCUAGGAAUGUGAUUCAAACUCAGUUAUACUCCUACUUUCCUGCUCACUCAUGAACACAUAUCCUUUCGAGUGUUCUGAGUACCUUAUGAAAAUACUCUUCUUUCCUCUAGGACUCAAUUUCCCAAUUUGUGAGAUAACUCAUGUGUAUAGGCGACACAACCCCAUCACUUAAGAAAACUUAAGUCCGGUUUUCUACCUGUCCAUAACUCAUAUGGAGUGGAAGUAACUGAUUUGGAAGGCACCCGGUUAAGUAUAUAGGCAGCAGCUAACAAUGCAUCACUCCAAAAAAUAAUUGGUAAGUUAGCAUGCGCCAUCAUGAACCUAACCAUUUCCAGUAGGGUUCUGUUUCUUCUCUCCGCAACACCAUUUUGUUGAGGAGUAUACGGAAUAGACAACUGUCUUUCUAUUCCUUUUUCAUCACAUAAUUUUUUGAACUCAUCAGAUAAAUAUUCUCGACCUCGAUCGAAUCUCAAUGCUUUUAUUUUCUUAUCUAAUUGAUUUUCUACCAGGUUCAUAAACCUUUUGAAAUAAAUUAUUACUUCAGAUUUAUGAGAAAUCAAAUAGACAUAUCUGUCGCGACCCGAUCUCGCCGUCCCCUCGAAAUGGUAUCCAAGGAUGGGAAAGGUCGGGUUUAGGGGUACUUGAUCUCAAGAUCACGAACUCUCCCAAGCUCGUACCCCGCGUGACAGCGGAUUUAUUUAUAGGAUCUAAUUGUUUAUAACAACCUACAAAAUAUACAGGAGUCGCCACUAGCCUUAACUUUGGGGGUCGGCUAGAAACCCAAUCGAGAGUCGGGAGUGUUCCCUCGAUUCCUACGCAACCAGAUAUCUAGGUUCGGGGACUUGGGUUACGCUAAUAUUGCUAUUAGCGCCCUUUCGGUACCUAAACAGUAUGUUGUGUUUUUUCUAACAUGUCCAUGCGUUUCUUUUUACAUUUUUCGGGAUCAUUAAUUCCUAGGCUAAGUGAUCAUGCGUGGUUGAUCGUUUUCAUGCUAUUCUAUUUCUAAAAAAAUGAAAAGAAAACAAUCAAUGAAAUUGAAAGUGCAAGACAUGAAGUAAACAAUCAAAAGAAAGCAAUAAACCUAAUCAUGCAAUUCUAAAAAUAUAAAAGAGAAAACACAAUUAAGAAAAAAAGAGGGAAAAAGGGAAAACCCGCAACUCGUCGGGUUUUAUACAACACAAGGAACCUGAGACAUAUGUCGGGAGAAAAAUGAAUAUUACAGAGUAACGGUCGGAGUGGACAUCGACCUCCACCAUCUUCACGCUUUCUCCAUCUUCAAGGUCCUAAUCUAAACCUAAUCUAAGAAAUUUAUGACUAGGUGCAUACAAGUGAAAGAAACAAUCACAACUAAGAUCAAAGCAAUUGGAGUAGAACCCACGUGAGAUUGGUUCUAAGAAAAAGGCACAGAAAUCAAGCACUUUAUAAAGAGCAACUUUCAUGAAUGGAAUUUCUUGAGGCGUAUCAAGUUCAAGUAAAGUCAAAUUCAUGGCCAAAAAACAACAAUCUCUAAAGCAUGCAAAUCAAUUAUAAGCAAAUCAAAGAAUGAUGCAUGACAACUGAUUUGUUAAGUCACCUAAUCAAUGCAGGAAAAUCAUGAAAUUUGAACAUGACGUAGGGUUAAAUGUGAAGAAAAAGUUUGAUUUAGACAUUUAACCCUAAAUCCAUGUGCAAAAGGCCACACAAAUCCAUUAACAUUGACACGUGACUUGUCAUUAGGAGCAAAAUGCAUAACAAUUUAAAUUGCUACAUGUCAACUUGAAUUCUAAGGUUACUUGACCUUAAAAAUUCUCAAAUUUUAGCAUGGGAUGGAUAUGGAUAUUAUGGACAGCUUUCAUUGAGAAUUUAUCCUCAAGAUCAUUUUGUAUAAGAUCACACAAAAUUGGUAGACAGUCAGAUUCAUAGAGACAAGACAGCACUGCAGGUCAAGACAAAUUCAGACUUCAAAACUUGAUCUAAAGAAAAGAAAAAAACAGGGCAAAUGAUGGGCAAACUGGACAAACUAGGCAUCGUUAGAAAGCUCAAGGUGUCCUUUACGAAUUCCUAUUAGGUGACAAUUGCAAUUUAAGUCUUUUCCUAGCUCAAGUAAAGCCAUUUGUAUGAGUGGUCAGAUCAGAUCAUAACAAAGAGAACACAU
rnacentral:lncRNA from 1 species